rnacentral:ncRNA from 1 species
UAUAUCUUACUUUAAGAUUAGAUGAUGAGUAAGAGAACAAAAGUAAGUAUUUUAUCACACCUACCUGACUAGAAUUCAGGAUAAGUAAGUUCUUCAUAAGAGAACAUUUCCAUUACGAAUUCAGUCGCAAAUUGUAGAAUUAGCUACUCUACGAUUUAGUGAGCGUUAGUAACGUUGUAAUAUAAUAUAGUCUUUGGAAGGAUUAUAUUGUAUUAUUAAAUAACUCCUC